rnacentral:rRNA from 1 species
UACAGGGGGGGCAAGCGUUGUUCGGAAUUACUGGGCGUAAAGGGCUCGUAGGCGGCCAACUAAGUCACACGUGAAAUCCCCAGGCUUAACCUGGGAACUGCGUGUGAUACUGGAUGGCUUGAAUUCGGGAGAGGGAUGCAGAAUUCCAGGUGUAGCGGUGAAAUGCGUAGAUAUCUGGAGGAAUACCGGUGGCGAAGGUGGCAUCCUGGACCGACAUUGACGCUGAGGAGCGAAAGCUAGGGGAGCAAACGGG